rnacentral:rRNA from 1 species
AUGCAUGUCUAAGUAUAAGCAAUUAUACAGCGAAACUGCGAAUGGCUCAUUAUAUAAGUUAUCGUUUAUUUGAUAGUACCUUACUACUUGGAUAACCGUGGUAAUUCUAGAGCUAAUACAUGCUAAAAAUCCCGACUUCGGAAGGGAUGUAUUUAUUAGAUUAAAAACCAAUGCCCUCUGGGCUCCUUGGUGAUUCAUAAUAACUUUUCGAAUCGCAUGGCCUUGCGCCGGCGAUGGUUCAUUCAAAUUUCUUCCCUAUCAACUUUCGAUGUUUGGGUAUUGGCCAAACAUGGUCGCAACGGGUAACGGAGGGUUAGGGCUCGACCCCGGAGAAGGAGCCUGAGAAACGGCUACUACAUCCAAGGAAGGCAGCAGGCGCGCAAAUUACCCAAUCCCGAUUCGGGGAGGUAGUGACAAUAAAUACUGAUACAGGGCUCUUUUGGGUCUUGUAAUUGGAAUGAGUACAAUUUAAAUCCCUUAACGAGGAACAAUUGGAGGGCAAGUCUGGUGCCAGCAGCCGCGGUAAUUCCAGCUCCAAUAGCGUAUAUUAAAGUUGUUGUGGUUAAAAAGCUCGUAGUUGAACCUUGGGCCUGGCUGGCCGGUCCGCCUCACCGCGUGUACUGGUCCGGCCGGGCCUUUCCCUCUGUGGAACCUCAUGCCCUUCACUGGGUGUGGCGGGGAAACAGGACUUUUACUUUGAAAAAAUUAGAGUGCUCCAGGCAGGCCUAUGCUCGAAUACAUUAGCAUGGAAUAAUGAAAUAGGACGUGUGGUUCUAUUUUGUUGGUUUCUAGGACCGCCGUAAUGAUUAAUAGGGACAGUCGGGGGCAUCAGUAUUCAAUUGUCAGAGGUGAAAUUCUUGGAUUUAUUGAAGACUAACUACUGCGAAAGCAUUUGCCAAGGAUGUUUUCAUUAAUCAGGAACGAAAGUUAGGGGAUCGAAGACGAUCAGAUACCGUCGUAGUCUUAACCAUAAACUAUGCCGACUAGGGAUCGGACGAUGUUAUUUUUUGACGCGUUCGGCACCUUACGAGAAAUCAAAGUGCUUGGGCUCCAGGGGGAGUANNGNCGC